UGGGUAACCUGCCUCAAAGAGGGGAAUAGCCUCCCGAAAGGGAGAUUAAUACCGCAUAAUAUGUUUAGGUCGCAUGACUUUAACAUCAAAGGAUUUUCUUUUAGAAAUUCCACUUUGAGAUGGACCCGCGGCGCAUUAGCUAGUUGGUGAGGUAACGGCUCACCAAGGCAACGAUGCGUAGCCGACCUGAGAGGGUGAUCGACCACAUUGGAACUGAGACACGGUCCAGACUCCGUAGGGAGG
rnacentral:rRNA from 1 species